UCCGGCAGGUUUCUCUUCACUGUCACAUAAAUCUUUCACCUUUUACUAAAGAUUUCCAGGGAGAGGAAUGUUAACGAGUUCAGCUUAUUUUUGCAGGCUUUGCUCUGGUGGAGCU